rnacentral:rRNA from 1 species
UACGUAGGGUGCAAGCGUUAUUCGGAAUUAUUGGGCGUAAAGGGCUCGUAGGCGGUUCGUCGCGUCCGGUGUGAAAGUCCAUCGCUUAACGGUGGAUCCGCGCCGGGUACGGGCGGGCUUGAGUGCGGUAGGGGAGACUGGAAUUCCCGGUGUAACGGUGGAAUGUGUAGAUAUCGGGAAGAACACCAAUGGCGAAGGCAGGUCUCUGGGCCGUUACUGACGCUGAGGAGCGAAAGCGUGGGGAGCGAACAGG